rnacentral:rRNA from 1 species
GGACUACUGGGGUAUCUAAUCCUGUUCGCUCCCCACGCUUUCGCUCCUCAGCGUCAGUACCGGCCCAGAGUGCUGCCUUCGCUGUUGGUGUUCCUCCUGAUAUCUGCGCAUUUCACCGCUACACCAGGAAUUCCACACUCCCCUACCGGACUCCAGUCACCGCAGUAUCGGAAGCGAUUCUGGGUUGAGCCCAGAGAUUUGACUUCACGACUUACGGAACCGCCUACGAGCUCUUUACGCCCAAUAAAUCCGGACAACGCUUGCCCCCUACGUAUUACCGCGGCUGCUGGCAC